rnacentral:rRNA from 1 species
GACGAACGCUGGCGGCGUGCUUAACACAUGCAAGUCGAACGGAAAGGCCCUGCUUUUGUGGGGUGCUCGAGUGGCGAACGGGUGAGUAACGCGUGAGUAACCUGCCCUUGACUUUGGGAUAACUUCAGGAAACUGGGGCUAAUAACGGAUAGGAGCUCCUGCUGCAUGGUGGGGGUUGGAAAGUUUCGGCGGUUGGGGAUGGACUCGCGGCUUAUCAGCUUGUUGGUGGGGUAGUGGCUUACCAAGGCUUUGACGGGUAGCCGGCCUGAGAGGGUGACCGGCCACAUUGGGACUGAGAUACGGCCCAGACUCCUACGGGAGGCAGCAGUGGGGAAUAUUGCACAAUGGGCGGAAGCCUGAUGCAGCAACGCCGCGUGCGGGAUGACGGCCUUCGGGUUGUAAACCGCUUUCGCCUGUGACGAAGCGUGAGUGACGGUAAUGGGUAAAGAAGCACCGGCUAACUACGUG